rnacentral:rRNA from 1 species
UUACGACCGUAUCACACUGAAAUACCGGUUUGCGUACGAUCCCCGAAGUUAAGCAACGUUCUGCCUGGUCAGUACCUAGAUGGGUAACCGCAUGGAAAUUCCAUGUGCUGUAA